rnacentral:SRP_RNA from 1 species
CGAUGUCCGAUGAAUUUUUCUGUUGAAACGGUAUUUCUAGAAGGAAUUUUAGGAAUUCUUUUUCAUAAAAUCUUGCGUUCGUUCUAGGGUAGCAAUACAGCAAGACACGCAUAAACAGGAAAAAGUCCUUGGAUCGCGUCGUGCGUUG